rnacentral:misc_RNA from 1 species
CAGAGUUGCGAAACUCCCUAAACCAUUUGUGAACCUACCCCCAAAACAGUUGCUUCGGCGGCGCCCUAGCCGGCCCGCCGGAGACCGCCAAACGCUUUGUUUUUACACUGGCCUCUCUGAGUUAUUGUACUGUAAUAAGUCA